GCUUGUAAAACACUCGCAAACAGAAGAUCAUCAAGCUGAUAGAAAAACUAUCGCGAACAGGUCUGGUUUAGAUGUCAAACUCCUGUAGUAUUCCCAGGAUCUGUUAAGUAGAUGAAUAUCAAAAGUUGCUUUUUUCUUAUUCCCUUUGCAAGCACACUUAUCGGACGUUUCACUUCACGUUCUAAUAAGGAAAGUUCUUCUUACGAGAGUAAAGAUUAUAUGGCUACAAGAAAGGGAAGCUAUAAAUAAUUUUUGCAGGUAACAGACAUGGAGUAAAUAAUCGUCGUGUAAUCCCUGCAUGCGUUCAGACUCUAUCCAAAGCAUGCCGUACUAGAAUCGAGAGGAAAAUUACUGCUGCAAGCUUACCUUAAGAGUAGAAGAACCGAUCAAUUAUUAGGUGUUUAUUAUUAGGCAACAAAGCAUUUUAGAUGUACCAGGUAUUCAAACUCGGAAGAAAACAAGUAAGAAAAGGAUCACGUCUAAUAACUGAAUGGUCGUGGGUUCCAAAUCUCAAUUGCGGUAUAUAGUUUUCAAUAAAACCGCCAGCCUUUAAAUGCUAGGGCUUUCAUACUUUAGUCUUGGAAUUUAUUGGUUUGCCUAAAUCAAUAAUGCUAAUAAUAACAACCAUAUUCACUUGUGAGUUACUCUUGCAACACAACGGGAAACUUCCCUGGGGGAAGCAUUUAUUAAUAGCCUUGAAGAAUUUCUGUACUAACACUAAAGAGAUCCAUGGAUUUGUUAAGAAAUCCGAAUGGAGGUCAUGUGAUUUGCAUCAGUUUACCCAUUGAAAAUUUCAGAACGAACUCAACUCAAAAUUUCAGAACUCUCAACUUAUUGUUAAAGAUGUUUUCAGGAAUAAAUUCCGUUUACUUUCCAACUUCAUCUUUUGAACCAAUUUAAAGGUGAAUUUUAAUGAUGAUUGCUUAAAUCAAUACGAAAUCUCUCAUAAAGAGAACAGCAAUACUUUACAAAUUCUCCAAUACGUCCUUCUGGUCGCGUUACUAAAAGAAUGACAAAACAAAUAUACCAACAUUUAUUUUUUAUUUUUUUUUUUUUGAUGAUGACUGAGCAUAUAAAGUUAUUUACUAUGUGUGCAGACAGUAAAAUAACGUAAACCAAAUUUUGCAAUAGCUUCUAUCCUCCAAAAGUAAAAAAAAAAAAAAAAAAAAAAAUCUGUAUAUAAUGCGACAGUUGUUUGCAUUCACAGCCAUUCCGCAAACAUCAACGAACGGGAGGAAAAGAAGAUCUCAGCGGAAAAAACGAAAAAUAAAAAAAAAAUAAAUAAAAAAAAACAGCUUAUUCAUGUCUCGCUAAUCAAUGCAGACACGCAAGUUCAAUAUGAACAUAAUAAAACAGUCAAAUUGGGAAAAAAGGAAACAACAACCUGACAACUAUGUGAUGAUAGAGGUAGAGAUACCAAUUUAUAACAUGAUUUGGAAAUUUUCUUUUCUUUCUUGCCUCUCCUCCAGUCAAAUUCAAGAACGAGGUAAUUGUAUAGAGAUAUAAGCAGAAAAAAUAACGAAUCAAACCGCAACUUCAACAAACUGCACGAGAUCAACAAAACCAACCAAUAAUAUCUGACUGUAAAGGAAAUGCAGAUAUAAAGAAAGAAGAAGAAGAGGAAAAAAGAAAAAGCGCACCGCACCGUCCCCAUCACAAAGGAAAUUGUCGAAAAGCUUAAUGCAAACUGGGAUGAGGCGGAAAAUGAACUUUUUGCUUCUCUAUCUCUUUCGGGGCGAAUAUCAAAAGCAAUUGUCAGGUUAUGACAUUAAAUUAGUUUUGUUCUCCGGUAAUCAAAAGUCAGACACAGUCGAACUAGAGCAUACGUCUGCUCGGUAGCGUACCCGGAACCCGAAGAACGAAGCAGGGCUUAAUCCUUUCUUUCUUUAAGAUAUCAGCAUUGGCGAUCGUGUGAAUUCUUGUUCGACAUGUCCCUAUAAACCAGGAAGAAAGAAGAUCCCUAACUGAAAUUUCGCAUAAGAAAUAUUCCACCCAAUCUUCUCCGGAUUGUUGGAGCGAGCUUGAAAUAGUUCCUUUACUAGCAAGCAAACAUAUUUCAUUGAAUUUUGAAUCGCAUUAGAUGUUGCGUAAGGUUUUUUCAUUGGAUUUGCUACGCUUUAAAAACAGCGUCUACGUUUUAUCCACGUGAUGGAGGAAGCAAAAUACGAUUUUUUUGUUCGUUUUGUAAGUGGAUUUUAGGAACGAUCGAAAGGCGAAACCUACCAUCAAUAUGUAUGAAGUUUCCAAGCCAUGG